AUCACGGGUGAGCGUAUCAGGAGCCGACCGGGGGAUGAGGCAGCGCGGCCGUGGCGUCAUGGCCGGGGAGGGGGACGAGGCGCGGUUGUGGCGACCAGCCGGCGCAGGAGGAGCCGUCCGAGAUUGGGACGACGCGCCGCGCGGCUGUGGCAUCUAGGCACCUGCCGGAUGCGCGCGGCCAGAUGCGCGCCAGUGGUGGUCGGCUCCCUCGGCGGUCAGGUGGGAGCGGACGUGGCGGCCAGGUCGGUGGCAGUAGCAUUUCAUCGCUCUGUCGACGAGGUGGGUUAAAUGGAGGAGCGGCCGUGGCAGCUAGGUGGUUGCCUCACUCCACGGAUUCACACUCCAUCUGCAGCUUGAUGAUGCUCGGACGAGUCUGGGAUGGGGCGACGGUGCAAACCCGGGGCUGGUGACAUCGGACGGCACGGACCAUGGCACCAUGCCGAGCAGCACCUCUUGCCAUCCCCCGCUCGCCUCUGCCUCGCCGGAUCAAUGCACCGGAGUGGAGCAGCUGCGGAGAUCGUACAUCCACGUCGCCAUCCCGACAUGUCGCCCGGCCUUGCAGGACGCCAAGAUCUGGUUGGAGUAUGGCAGAGGAGGCCUUCCUUUGGGAGAUCAAGGCGACCACCGGAGUGGAGCAGCUGCGGAGACCGCACAUCCACGUCGCCAUCCCGACAUGUCGCCCGGCCUUGCAGGACGCCAAGAUCUGGUUGGGGUGUGGCAGAGGAGGCCUUCCUUUGGGAGAUCAAGGCGACGACGUGCCAUCCCUGCACGCUGCCCUCUCUUUCCUUCGUUACGUGUUCUGGUUAAAUAUAGCAUUUUUAAAGCUUGUUUUCACAUUGUUGUAUAACCUGACGCAGUUUGCUCAACCAAACAGUGGCAAGGAAGUAGUUCCAUUACAACCCCCGAUACAAAACAAAACAGGGAUUUUCCCAUUACGUUUACGUUA